ACUCAAGGAAUUGACGGGCCCCGCACAAGCAGCGGAGCGUGUGGUUUAAUUCGAUGCUACACGAAGAACCUUACCAGGGUUUGACAUACAAGUAGUAGGGAAAGGAAACUGGACCGACCCUUCGGGGAGCUUGAACAGGUGCUGCAUGGCUGUCGUCAGCUCGUGUCGUGAGAUGUUCGGUUAAGUCCGCUAACGAGCGCAACCCUCGCUGUGUGUUACAAGUGUCACACGGAACUGCCGGUCAUAAACCGGAGGAAGGUGGGGAUGACGUCAAGUCAGCAUGGCCUUUAUAUCCUGGGCUACACACACGCUACAAUGGGAAGGGACAAUAGGUUGCGAAGCCGCGAGGCGGAGCCAAUCCAGCAAAACUUCCCUCAGUUCAGAUUGCAGGCUGCAACUCGCCUGCAUGAAGUUCGGAGUUGCUAAGUAAACGCAGGUCAGCCAUACUGCGUUGAAUACGUUCCGGGCUU
rnacentral:rRNA from 1 species